rnacentral:rRNA from 1 species
GUAAGGAAUAUUGCGCAAUGGGCGAAAGCCUGACGCAGCAACGCCGCGUGGAUGAAGAAGGCCUUCGGGUUGUAAAAUCCUUUUCUGGGGGAUGAGGAAGGACAGUACCCCAGGAAUAAGCGUCGGCUAACUACGUGCCAGCAGCCGCGGUAAAACGUAGGACGCGAGCGUUAUCCGGAUUUACUGGGCGUAAAGCGUGUGUAGGCGGUCGUGUAAGUCGGACGUGAAAGCUCCCGGCUCAACUGGGAGAUGCCGUUCGAUACUGCACGACUAGAGGGCAGGAGAGGAGCGUGGAAUUCCGGGUGUAGUGGUGAAAUGCGUAGAUAUCCGGAGGAACACCGGUGGCGAAGGCGACGCUCUGGACUGCUCCUGACGCUAAGACACGAAAGCUAGGGUAGCGAACGGG